rnacentral:rRNA from 1 species
GAUGAACGCUGGCGGCGUGCCUAAUACAUGCAAGUCGAGCGAACAGACGAGGAGCUUGCUCCUCUGACGUUAGCGGCGGACGGGUGAGUAACACGUGGAUAACCUACCUAUAAGACUGGGAUAACUUCGGGAAACCGGAGCUAAUACCGGAUAAUAUAUUGAACCGCAUGGUUCAAUAGUGAAAGACGGUUUUGCUGUCACUUAUAGAUGGAUCCGCGCCGCAUUAGCUAGUUGGUAAGGUAACGGCUUACCAAGGCAACGAUGCGUAGCCGACCUGAGAGGGUGAUCGGCCACACUGGAACUGAGACACGGUCCAGACUCCUACGGGAGGCAGCAGUAGGGAAUCUUCCGCAAGGGGCGAAAGCCUGACGGAGCAACGCCGCGUGAGUGAUGAAGGUCUGCGGAUCGUAAAACUCUGUUAUUAGGGAAGAACAAAUGUGUAAGUAACUAUGCCCGUCUUGACGGUACCUAAUCAGAAAGCCACGGCUAACUAC